rnacentral:lncRNA from 1 species
AGUAAAUGUUUGGGGUGCUCUUAGGUGCUGGUCAGAUGCAGGUAUACCAUUCCUCCUUGUUGAACGGAGAGUGUAAAAAAUGGCCCUGGGGCGACGCGCUAUGCUAUCUUGCGCUAUAAAAAUGGCCCUGGAGUUGAAGAACAUGUGGCCGGGAGCGCAUGAUUUGUCGUUUUGCGUCUUUCCUUUGCGUUGGGUUCUUUUGUGGUGUGUAAAGAGUGCUUGUCUGGUGAUUUGAUACAUCAUUUUGGUGUGGUUGCAACAUUGGCCUGCAGAGCAACCGAUGAUCUCGCAUGUAUGACCAGGCAACCUGUGUAUAUGAAAACUUGAAAGAUCACAGAUUAGUCCAGUUACUCCUUUUGCAGUUUACGAUAUGAUAUGAUUUGAUUUGAAAGUGAUAGACACCGUCGUUUCAAGUUCUUCCUAGUUCUGCUACCGGCCUUUUUUUUGAAGAUAUAGUGGAAAUCCGUGACCUCUUGCAGGGAAAAAGUAGUUUUUAAAACUAGUUACUGCACCUUUUAAAAUGACUUCUAGUGUCAAAAAAGACAACUCUAUGGCUAUAUAACUCGAGCAUUAUUUGUUUAUAUCUCAAUGUUUUUUCCUGCAAAAAAAAUGAUCAUAUUUUUUGAUGAAAAUUUAGAAGUUCAUGGCAAGAGGUGAACUGUAUUUUCCAUUAAACAUUUGUCUAUGUGGGCGUCUGAUAGGUGUGUACAAUGUGUUUUUGUUUUAGGUUUCUAGUUUUUGCAGAAAGAAAAAUUUAAAAAUUACCCAUCAAUAUGAGACAGGGCCCAAGUGUGAAAAUUUAGAAGUUCAUGGCAAGAGGUGAACUGUAUUUUCCAUUAAUACAAGACGUUUUGGCAGUUUAAUUUUAGCUGAGGAAAAAUAGCAAUUGCGCAUUAGGUGCUCGCUUGUUGCGCACAUGAACGGCUGUCCCUUUCUCCCUUAUUGCGCAUCAGGUAUUCUAGACUCUAGAUUACUCCCUCCGUCCCACAAUAUAAGAGCAUUUUGCAAGUUUUUUUUUUUGAACAAGGGAAGGGUCCAAAAGGACCUAGUCAUCCAUUGAUAAGCAUGAUAGUACAUUUUACAACAAGACCCCAUGGAAAUAGAAAAUUAUGAACUAGGCCCUGCAUUAUGCAAACAAGACCCUGAACAAUGGAAGAAGAUUGCAACCGGGUUCGAACUAUUUGCACCCCGGUGGAUUCAACCUUGCCGGUGCCGGGGACAGCACCACUUGGGCCAACGAGACAUCCAUGACUCCAUGCCAUAGACUCCACCGUGAAGUAGGACUGCCUCCCCUUUGGCAUCUUGGCCGGGAGGAAUGAAGAUGGUCACCCUUCGACCCGAGGAUAUGGCGGGUCGUCAGAGACCGGGCAGCAACCAAGAAGGGCGCCAUAGCAUCUCCAAAUCCACCGUCGUGUGUUCUCACACACCCCAACCGCAGUGUCCAUCUUCCCUUGCACUACUAGGAAAAGGGCUAUAGAUGGAAUUGACACUAAUGGCGCACCAGACAUGUGGUGCGCCAUUAGUAUAUACUAAUGGCGCACCACCUUCUGAUGCGCCAUUAGUGUUGAAACUACUAAUGGCGCACCCUGCCCACGGUGCGCCAUUAGUACCAAUUUUUUUUUGAACUAGUGCGCCUGUCCAAACAUACUAAUGGCGCAUCCACUGGUGGUGCGCCAUUACUAGUUGUAACUAGUAAUGGCGCACCAGCCAGAAGGUGCGCCACUAAAGUUAUUUUUUUUAUUAUUGUUUUUAUUCCUUUUUUUGCAAAAGUACUAAUGGCACACUCACACGCGGUGCGCCAUUACUAGUUCAAACUAGUAAUGGCGCACCGUGGCAGAGUGCGCCAUUAGUAUGUUUUUUUUUGCAAAACUACUAAUGGCGCACCAUCAGGGGGUGCGCCAUUAGUAACCUGGAUUACUAAUGGCACAUUUGUUGCUGGUGCGCCAUUAGUAAGUGGGCAGCAACAAGAUAUUUUGGACAGCCUCUCCUCCCACACUCACUUUCUCCCCACUUCAUUCUCUCCACCGCCUCCUCCUUGUCUCGGGUGCCUCCUCUUUUUCACCUCAUUUCCACCAUAGAUUCAUUCAAAUUAAGUGGUUAAGUUACCUUGUUUUGCUAGGUAAGUAAGGGGGAAGCUAUAUUUAUGUUGUUCUCCCUACAACAAUGUGCACAUGCACUUUUUAUGGCCUAGCUAGAUCUAUGUAUGUUCGUGGUGUUGCAUAUGUUUGUGGUGUUGCAUAUGUGUUUGUGUUUGGAGGUGUACCAGUAUUUGAAAUGCGAUAGUUGCCAAUAUUUUGCCGGAAUGUUUAUUCAUUUCCCUUUCGGCGAGAAUUUUGGCAUUAAGCAUUCUUUUUGGUCCUAUUUUUAGGGAAAGUCAUGCCAAUUUUUUUCUUGGUUCUAAAAUAUCGUUUUGCUCUACCGCGCAGGCGACCAUGGUCCGCACGAUGACUGAAGGCAUCGUGAAUAGGUUUUUGAGGUCCGCGAAGGCCGAGAUGCUUCAAAAGAACGAGACGGAGAUAAGAUGUCCAUGUCGAAGAUGCAAGCUGAAUAGCCUUAUUACGGACCCGGAUUCCGGGCAGGUGCGGGACCACCUACUCUUGCGUGGUUUCAUGGAUGGCUAUCGGUGGCAAGGUGAUGAAAAUGACUACGAAGUCGUCCAUGGGGGCAGGGCAAUAAAUGAGGAAGGGCAGCAAGACAACCACCGCGGCUCGGGGGGGCGAGAAAACGAAGAAUCCCCAGGAGAUGAUCACGACGGUGAUGCUGUACACAGUCAUCAUGUAGAAGAUGCAGGACAUGAUGAUGAUGCCGGCGGAGCAGACGACGCUGGACCAUCGAUGGGCUGGGUGCAGGACCCUCAUAUUCAAGAGCUGCUUCUCAAGCAGACGGAUAACGCAAGAGCUGCCGCCCGAGAGAAAGCCAAGAUGGAUCAACUUGAGUUAGACGCGGUUACUCCAUUGUAUGAAGGAUGCAGGCCCGAGGAUACCCGCCUGAAAGUAACGCUCAUGGCUCUGGAGAUGAAGGUAAAACACAAAAUGACCGACGCAUGCUUCGACGAGAACAUUUCAUUCUGGCACGAACGUCUUCCCAAGGGGAACAAGUGCCCGACCAGUUUGGAGGAGGCGAAGAAAAUCGUGUGUCCUCUGGAUUUACCGCACGUGAAAUACCAUGUGUGCAUGAACAAUUGCAUCAUUUAUCGGGACGAGCACGCGCAGUCUACCAUAUGUCCAGUGUGCAGUGUCACUCGAUACAAGAAGAGGAAGAAAGCUCCUCGAAAAGUGGUGUGGUACUUUCCGAUCACUCCUCGUCUGCAGCGGUAUUUCGCGGACCCUAAGGUAGCCAAGCUCCUGCGUUGGCACGCGGAUAGGGAGGAGAAGAAGGGAGAAGAUGACGCAAAUGAUCCGGAGAUAGAUAAAAAAGACAAGAUGCUGAGUCACCCUAAGGAUGCGAGCCAGUGGCAAGCGUUGAACUUCGAAUACCCAGAAUUUGGGAACGAUCCAAGGAACAUCGUGCUGGGCGCGAGCACCGAUGGAGUCAAUCCGUUUGGCAGCCAGAGAAGCACACAUAGCACCUGGCCUGUGUUUGUGUGGAUGUACAACCUUCCCCCUGGUUGUGCAUGAAGAGGAAGUACAUUCACAUGAGUAUGCUAAUUGAAGGGCCGAAACAACCAGAGAACAACAUCAAUCUGUAUCUGGGGCUGCUGAAAGAGGAGCUUGACACGCUGUGGAAAACGCCAGCCAAUACGUGGGACGCCGCAGAGAAAGAAUAUUUCCCUAUGAGAGCCGCACUGCUCACGACGGUGCACGACUAUCUCGGUUACGGAUAUCUUGCGGGGCAGGUAGUCCACGGAUUUUCUGGAUGCGUAAGGUGCAUGGAUGACACAACGUAUCGCCAGCUAGAUAGAGAUCCCGGGUCUUUGAAAACCCUGUUCAUGGGACAUCGAAGGUGGCUUCGCGACGAUGACCCGUGGUGGAAACGCAAGGAUCUGUUCGAUGGUGAAACCGAACCCCGAAAACGCCCGUGUAUGAGGAGCGGCGAGGAAAUAGACAAGCUGUUGAAAAAUUGGAAAGACUGCCCACUGCCGGGAAAGAAGCAAAAGGCGCCAGAGCCGGGAAAGAAGCGAAAGGCGCCAGAGCCGCUGCUGAAGGUAUGGAAAACGAGGUCUGUUUUCUGGGACUUGCCAUACUGGAAGGUCCACCGUGUGCCUCACAGCCUUGAUGUCAUGCAUAUCACGAAGAACGUGUGCGAGAGUCUGCUUGGUACCCUGCUCAACAUGCCAGAGAGGACCAAAGAUGGGCCGAAAGCAAGGGCAGACUUGAAAUCAAUGGGCAUCAGGCAGGAGCUUCACGCUAUAUAUGAUGAUGAUGAUGAUGAUGAUGAUGAUGAUGAUGAUGAUGAUGAUGAUGAUGAUGAGGCGAAGAAGGACACAAAAAGUCGUCGCAAAGGCAAAAAGGCCAAGAAGACCGGAAAUGACUACCCUCCCGCGUGCUUCACUCUAAGUCAGGAGGAGAUCAAGCAGUUUUUCACCUGCCUCCUAGGAGUAAAACUUCCUUACGGUUACGCGGGGAAGAUAAGAAGAUACCUAGACCCAGCGAAGCCGAAGUUCAGCGGGAUGAAGUCUCACGACUGUCACGUGCUGAUGACGCAGAUACUUCCAGUUGCAAUCCGUGGGAUCAUGGACGCGCACGUCCGUGAAACGCUAUUUGGCCUAUGCAACUUCUUCGACGUCAUCUCUCGGAAGUCGAUUGGCGUGAGGCAACUCAGAAGGCUAUAGGAAGAGAUCGUGGUGAUACUAUGCGAGCUUGAGAUGUACUUCCCGCCCGCAUUCUUCGACGUUAUGGUGCAUCUGCUGGUCCAUAGAGUGGAGGAUAUCAUCCAACUCGGGCCGACGUUCCUGCACAGCAUGAUGCCGUUCGAAAGGAUGAAUGGUGUCAUCAAAGGAUACGUUCGCAACAUGUCACGUCCAAAAGGAAGCAUAGCCAGGGGCUUUCUGACCGAAGAGUGCAUCUCCUACUGCACGAAUUAUCUAGGCAUCGAGAACCCCGUUGGUCUGCCCGUCAACAGGCACCUCGGCAGGCUCGCUGGAUGGGGUCACCGUGAGGGUCGCCGCGAAAUGCAUGUCGACUUCGAGGGUCGACUCGCCGACUUUGAAAGAGCAAACCUAGUCGCGCUACAACACAUAGACGUGGUCGAUCCUUGGGUGGUAGAGCACAAAACCUUUAUUAAGAAGACGUACAAUGACCGAGGCCAACAGAGGACAGACAGAGAUAUACUCAAAGAGCACAACUCAUGUUUCACGCGUUGGUUCAAGCAGAAGCUUCUGUCGUACCUAAAGGACGUCCGUUCCACAGAAGAACUCCAUUUGCGAAAAAGAAGGGCAAGAAGAUUGUGAACAGAUAGCUAGCUAAGAUCGAUUGUAUUUAAAUCGUAGCCUUCAUUUCUCGAUUGUAUUUCAUGGGUACUUUUUGAACUAUCAUGAAUAUUUUUAAAUUUCAUGGACACUCGAUCUCGAUCCCCCUCCAUCUCGAUCGCUAUCCCACCUCGCCAGAUCCGGUCCCCCUCGCCGCCGAGCACCCCCCAGUCCACCGGCCGCCGCCGCCGACCCCCCGCAUCUUCGAUUCCCCUACUCAACCCAGGACCUCCUGGUGUGAGAACUGGCUGCUGACCAGUCGAGCUAGUAGAGGGGACUUGAUCUGGAUCAGUUCUGGUGGUAGAUAACCUGUUGGCCCGAGCAGAAAUAAAAAAAAAUACUAAUGGCGCACCACGGUGGGGUGCGCCAUUAGUAUGGAUGUACUUAUGGCGCACCGAGUGGUGGUGCGCCAUUAGUAUUGUGCCCGGCCCCACCCAUAUUCCCUCCCCGGCCCCUCUCUCUCCCUCGCCCUCGCCCUCGAUCCCCUUCCCCUCUCCUCUCCCGACGCUGCCGCCGCCCUCGCCCUCUGCCCCGCCGCCCCGACGCCGCCUCGACGCUGCCCCGCCGCCCCGACGCCGCCUCGACCCCGCCCCGNNNNNNNNNNNNNNNNNNNNNNNNNNNNNNNNNNNNNNNNNNNNNNNNNNNNNNNNNNNNNNNNNNNNNNNNNNNNNNNNNNNNNNNNNNNNNNNNNNNNNNNNNNNNNNNNNNNNNNNNNNNNNNNNNNNNNNNNNNNNNNNNNNNNNNNNNNNNNNNNNNNNNNNNNNNNNNNNNNNNNNNNNNNNNNNNNNNNNNNNNNNNNNNNNNNNNNNNNNNNNNNNNNNNNNNNNNNNNNNNNNNNNNNNNNNNNNNNNNNNNNNNNNNNNNNNNNNNNNNNNNNNNNNNNNNNNNNNNNNNNNNNNNNNNNNNNNNNNNNNNNNNNNNNNNNNNNNNNNNNNNNNNNNNNNNNNNNNNNNNNNNNNNNNNNNNNNNNNNNNNNUGUACUUUUAGUGUAAUUACUGUGCAUUUUCAGUGAAAUUUACACUGUAAUUGUUAGUGGAAUUUACACUGUAAAUGUUAGUGGGUUUACAGUGUACUUCUAGUGGAUUUUUGCUCUGUAUUUGCAAGUGGCAUUUUUAGUGGAAUUACUGUGUAUUUCCAUGGUUUUUACACUGUAAUUAUUAGUGUAAGAUAUUGUUGCCAUUAAAUUUAGAAAUGGCAGCUCUUGGUGGCUUGGUGUACCUGUAUUUUCUCUCUGAAAAUUCUCUAAACAAGCAUUGCAAUUUGAUUUUGGCCCUGGUACAUGUAGUAGUAGUAAUGUUUGAGGGUUGCAUGCUUCGGUGCUAAAUUUGCAUCAGCGGUUGACGUUUCUUGAGUGAUUAUAACUUGUGGAAUAUGCUGUCUCAAACUAUGGAACAUGAGAUCUGCGUUUAGGAGCAGCCAAGGUGGUUUCUUUUUGUUGUACACUCCAGUUUGAUUCUUGUGUGCAUCACACUGGUUCAUAGUCUGGAACAUUCAGUCUUGCUUGCUCUAUGUUUGUUCGAUGUCCAGGGGCCCAAUUACAGUUAAGUUGUGGAUACAACACCUAUUUCACCAACAACAGAGAACACAACAACACAAUUAGGGCUCACAGUAAAGCAAUUGCAGUUUUCCCACAGCCAACAUGCCACAGGAGCACAAAGGUCUAAACUUGUAUCCUAAAGCACAUCUGGAACUGAAUUACUGAAUUAAUCUUGCACUGUCUUACUAACAGCCAACAAUAUUUCUAUCUAGUGAAGACUAAAGUUGCAUCAUCAGCAGCUUCAUAUAGAAGAUAAUGAUUCCUAUUUUUUAGUCUACUGUAAUUGUUUUUUAGUCCACAGCACUUUGCAUUGUUUUGAGGUUUUGUACAUCAGCUUUCUUGCUAAUCCAGCCCACGCGGCUGCUGUACUACUUGUCAAGUGAUGCUGCUGCUGCUAUCUGCGAGUUGUUGCUGCUAGUUGUGAUUUUGUCAAGUGAUGUUGCUGCUACUUGUGAUCUUCUAAAAUAACCCCUUUCUCCUGAAACGUUGAUUAAUUUCCGUUUCGGUUGAGAAAUGGGGCACUCCUAGGUCAAGAAAAUUAGCAAAGGUCAUGCCCAAUUUUCUUGACCUAGAAGGUGCCCGAUUCUCAACCGAAAUAAAAAUUAAUUUGCUUUAGUGGUUGGAUUAGUUUAGUAUUUUAUUCACACACUCAGACACCCUUGCUUGCCAUGUGUGAUAGAGAGAUAGUGAGAGGAGACAAUAAGCUAUCUGCAGCUUAAUUUGCAUUGCAUACUAGCUAGAUAGCUUUUGUUUUUCAGGACCAACCGAACAAUACAUAAAUAUACCUGUAGGCACCAGCUUAAUUUCCAAGGCAGGACAAUUACUUGCUUCAUUAUAUUCAUCUUUCCUUGGUCCAUUGAGCCUUCAUUCAUGGUUAUGAAUGAUAUGCAAUGAUCAGCCUGCUAGCGUUUAUCCUCUCCGCGUGUUUGAACACCCUGCGGUGUAGUGAAAAGUAAUUACAGAUACACUCACCCACAUAAGUAUUCAACACAAUGAAAAAAUAGUACAAAUUAAGGAAAGGCAAUACCAUUUCAGACGCUUGUCUUCUAAAAAGAAGAGUGAACUUUCUAGACACACCCCUCAAGAACUAGGUUACCCUGAGAACGUGGACUUGGACCUUAGCAACAACACACUAACAGGUUCUAUCCCAAAACACCUAGGCAAUAUCACAAACAUCUCUCAAUUGUUCCUUGACAAUAACCAACUUUUUGGCGAAAUUCCUUGAGAAUUAGGUUAUUGGGUCAACUUAGAGAUCUUGUUCCUUGACAAUAACCAACUUUUUGACCAAACUUUGUUUCUAUUUAGAGAGAAAAAUGGCCCACAACGAUGAGGCCGGGGGUUCGGGCAGCAAGGCAUUCUGAGAGCUGUCCCAGGAGAUGGAGGAACAACCUCACUUGUAUGAGGCCGCCGCCUUCCCCACCAAUCCUGAGACCACUGAUGGUGCCGCCAAGGAUGACCACACUGAUGCCACCACUGAUGGUGCCGCCGAGGAUGCCACCACUGAUGAUGGCGGCGCCCGCACAGAUGGCAGCCAACCGAAGAGGCAACGGAAGGACCGGCGCCCGAUCGUGCUCCUCACCCUCAAGGAGGAAGUUACUGAAGUGGACUCCAACGGGAAUCCAACGGCGCCGGAACGAAUAGUCAAGGGGUACUCGCUUCAGCUCGGGUGCAUUGUCUGGAGCACCGUCUCGAUCAACACCGAGAACCUGAGGCAUCCUGACUGAGGGAAUUUGCGCCACCUCCUCUUCACGAAGCUGCACGAACGAUACAAGUUACCCGCUGAAUUUGCAAACACAAGCCUCAAAGGGAAUAAAGUGAACAAUGCUGCCCUCACGAAGAUGAGCAAGGCCCUGUCUACUUGGAAAAGCAAUGUGAAGAAAAUGAUCGAGAAAGGUGAGAGUUAUCAGAAGAUCAAGGAGAAGAAUCCUUCGAUCACCGAAGAUGACUACAACGACUUCAAGAUCAAUUGCUCAAGCACCGCAAGCUCCCAAUCAAGUGAGUGGGGGAAACAAAUGUGGGAGCUGAACAUAGGGGAACACACACUCGGUCCCGACGAUUACAGAGUGGCGGAGCCUAUAUGGACAAGGAGGAGGCGGACCGUGCCGAGCAAAGCCUACCGCCCCUCUUCGAGAAAUACAGCGGUAACAAGCAGACCAGGAACUUUUUCAGGGCCCGGUACAAGAAGGACCCGAAAACAAAGGAGCUUACCACGGAUCCGAAGACCAGGCAGCUUGAGCUUGUUCUGGUAAGGAAUACACCCCCGCAUAAUUAGCUCCAUAUGGUUGCAUUCUAAUUAAUGAAGCCAAAUUUCUAAAUGGUUCACAUUCCUUCCGCAGGCGACUGAAAGCAGUAGCGCGGGGUCGACUAAGAGCAACCCUUGGGACACCACUCUAAAUAGGGCGUUGAAUGUAAUGAAGAACAAGGAUAAGCUCAGUAAUCUGACGUCAGCUGGUCGUGUGGCCGGCAAAGGCUUGUCGACAAAAUGGGGGUCAUACUAUACCGCUCGUGUGCGGAAGGAGAAAAAGACCAGCUCGGAAAGCCAGGCGUGAGAGGUUCAAGAACUCAAGGCACAGGUGGCGCGGAUUCCGGAGAUUGUCCAAGAGCAAGUGGAACAAGGACUCGGAGCGACGAUCACCGCCAUUGUGCGUACCUUGAUCUCGGGGUUGAGUGCGUGGAUUGCGGGCGGCCAACAGGGGCCGCCCCCGAUUCCUAGCUUCACGGCCAGCAACUCGCAUAAUGCGAUGGCGGGGCCAUUGGUGCCUCCGGCGGAGGCGGCAUUGGUGUCUCCGACGCCGGCACGGGAGCUUAAUGCACCCGGGUGUACGCCGGGCGGCACCUCUUCAGCAAGCGGCCCCUCCGUCAACUGCACGCCCGCCGUUGGCGGUGCGUCGACAUUAGCCGAGCUCGAUGCCAUCAUCACGGUAACUAAUUAAGCCUCUCUCGGCCGAGGACUUCAUCUCCUUGCCUUUGACUGGGCAUCCCUGACGCCCUACAUGUUUUUGCAGGGCGCCGCCGACGUUCCGUGCACUCUCCUCCACUUCGUGAACAAUGAGUUGGUCGAUGUCGCCAAGGGCAAAAUCGUUCAACCGGGCAACCCCUUGUUCCACGGUACCCAGAUGCCACCCAACUUGUUUAGGGUUCAACUGGUUCGGGUGCUGCCAGGCUGCGACGACUUGUUACCUCCGAUUCGACCCGUCGGGGCCGACGAUGAAGACGUGAUGACCCUCAGCGCCUGCCUGAGCUGGCCCCUGCUUUGGCCGAAGAGCCAGAUUCGUUUGGGGGCGGGGGACACCACCCCAAAGACAACACCGCCAGUCGUGCCGGCGCCAAGUCGGCCCCAUGGCAAGACCGCCGUAACGGUGCCGGACAUCCCUAUGCCACUGGAUCCAAACAUGCAUAUGGCACAGGAUCAGAAUGACGACGACGACGACGAUGAUACAUUUGGCAACGUCGAUCAGUACUUUGCCGAUCAUGGGUACGAUGGCGACUUCAUGGGGCCUCCUUCUCAAGAACCAAACCCAACAAAAGACGUGUGCGAUCUAGCUGGUACCGCGGAGAAGCCAAGUUGCAACAGGCGCCGUCUGGCGUUCAGCUCUCAGGAGACGCCUCCAGCUGCCGACUUCACCGAGCCUCAGAUAGGCGAGGUGCGAAAUAUUAUCAGCCCCAACACACUCAAGAAGGCGGUCUGUGAGCAGAAGUCGGUCCCAUUACAGGAGAAUAAGAAGGCAUGCAAAAGAAAGACUAAGAAGGGUGCGAGCCAGCCGGCACCGAGUACGAUCCGUGCUCAGGACGGGCCACCUUCACCGCAGGAUAUCUCGAGGAGGGUGCAUGUGGCGGGUAGGGCGAUGCUACCGACAAAUAUGCUCAAUGCUGCAACCGGUGCUAUGCGGAGUCUGCAUGACAGUGUUCUUGCUUUAGAGAAGCGGCGUCUCAGAGAGAAGGAUGUGGCAUACCCGGUUUUCGCGGCCAAGGUGCCAGAGGGCAAGGGCUUUGUGGAUAACUCCAUCGGGCGUACGAUCGUCCUGCGUUUUGAUGACAUCCACACUAUGUUGAACCUUCAUCCGCUGCACUACACCUUCGUUCGGCUAUUUUCGCUGAGUAUGGAGAUGCGGAUCAUUCGCGAUAAGACCCCGGACAUCGUGAUAGUCGACCCCUUCUACAUGCGUGCCAAGAUCUUGGGCAGCGCUGGGGACCGUCAAGUCGCGAGUUCUUACCUCGAAGGCGUCAUUCUGGCAAACCAAGAUAAGGAUAACUUCCUCGUGCCUUACUUUCCCGAGUAAGUCCUCCCCUCAACCGGCCCGUAACAUAUGAAUUCUUACAUUUCGAUCGUUUUUCUUUUAACAUUCCGUGUUUUCUGCAGUGACACACGUUGCACGCUCAUCCUCCUAAGCCCCAAAUAUUCCAUGGCCACGUAUUUCGACCCGGACCGUCAGUCGAACGUAGACUACACAAAUGUCAAGAAGGUUCUUGAUGAUGUUCUCCCCGGCUACGCCAAAUCUGGAGGCACCUUCACCAGGCCUAUUCGUAAGUACGGCAAGCACGUGUUCUCCCACAAUACGACGUUCUGCUGCGUCAAGCAGCCGCCUGGCGGUCAGAAGGGUGCCUACUACGCCAUCCAUCACAUGCGGGCGAUCGUACGGGACCAUCAUCAACUUCUGCUACCGAGUAAACUCAAAGAUUGGGCAAAGAGCUUGUCGGCAAUCCAGGACGCGGACCUCCGACAAGAAUUCUUUCGCAUCCAGUCGGAGUUUGCGGAAAUCAUCCAUCAAGAUGUCCUUCGUACCUCGGGGCAGUUCUACCUCAACAAUCAACCGUCCAACAGUGACAUCGACACAAUGCUACAAAUGCAGGCUGACAACGACCGUUAUUUCAUGACUCCCACGAUAGACGGCGGCUUCAUCCACGCUCCGGUCCCUUGAGUCGAGUCGAAAGCAGUGAUGAUGUGUCUAGUUCUGAAACAUCGAUUGGCUCAUGUUGUAAUUAAACUUUAAUGAACUUGUAGUAUGUCUCUUUGGUUUCGAGAGUCGUUCAACUUAGAUGUAAUCGAUGCUAUUAAUGUCUUGCUUUUCUCUUCCGAUCGUUCUGUUGCAUACUUAUAUAUUGCUUAUGUAUUGUCUGUGAAUUGGUACUAACGUUUCGUUUGGCUAGUGCAUAGUGAUGCCGACGUAUGUCGUGUACAAGGGUAAGGUUCCCGGAGUCUACGAUGACUGGGAGGAGUGUCGGAGACAGGUUCACUGAUUCAGCGGUAACAGUUACAAAGGGUACACCACUAGGGCCGAGGCCGAAUCUAGAUACGCCCGCUAUCUAGCGGGAGAGGGGAGGGAGCGUUGGAGGAACCGGAUGAAGACGAGUUUCAUCAUGAUGAUGCUCAUCGUGAUGACCGCAGCUCUCUUCUAUGUGAUGGUAGUUUAGAUGAUCGAUAUCGACUUGUAAUGUGAAGACAAACUCGCUACUCGCGGUCUCGAGACUUGUAAUAUAAUGUUCUAUCUUUGUUCGGUCUUUUCAAUUCGGAGACUAAUAUGAUGAAUUGUAUUCGGAGACUAAUAUGAUGAAUUGUAUUUGAAGACUAAUCUUCUAUUGUAUUCGAUGAAUCUGUUGUUGAUGUGUGCUGUCUAUAUUUUGUCAAAUUAUACAUUUUGUAACCUGUGCAAAAAACAGAAAAUAAAAAAUAAAAAAAAACUAAUAUUCAUACUAAUGGCGCACCACAUGACAGUGCGCCAUUAGUAUGACAGUGCAUACUAAUGGCGCAUCACUGGGCAGUGCGUCAUUAGUAUGCCGCGGUUACUAAUGUUGCAUCCAGUGGUGGUGCGCCAUUAGUAUGCCAAAGCACCUGGGUAUACAUGGCCCCUGGGAGGCAUACUAAUGGCGUACCCUGGCCUAUACUAAUGGCGCACCCGCGGUGCGCCAUUAGUAUACCAGAUACUAAUGGCGCACCAGGUGGUGCGCCAUUAGUAAAAAUUACUAAUGGCGUGCUAUUAAUGGCGCACCACAGAUGCGCCAUUAAUGGCCAUAUUAGGUGCGCCAUUAGUAGGGGUUUUUCUAGUAGUGUUAUGAGCGCCGCCACUUCUCGAUCACCAUGAUGGAUGCUGUAGAUAGUAACUUGGUGGAGAUCCCUCUGCAGAUCCAACCAGGACUACCUCGCUGGAAGCUACUCCCUCCGUCCCAUAAUAUAAGAACGUUUUUUACACUAGAAUAUAAGAACGUUUUUUAAUCCAGUGAGAACAUGCCCCCAGGACAAACCCCGCCGUGUUCUCCCACACGUUCCACUGCCGCCACCGAGACGGCACGAAGAAGACAGAGAGGACACUGGAUCGACUCGAUCUGAGGCAGCCCCGCACUUAUUCAAAGAGCUAGCUCCAGAUCCGUCGACUUCCCUUCGCGUCCACCAUGGAGGAAGAGCAGAGGACGGCGCCGGCGACCACCGAGCCCUAUAUGCAUGCGACGGUGGAAUUCACUCCAAUGGCAUAACGCCAGUCGCCCAAAGGGGAAGUCCAGGCAAACGCCUCAGUCCUAAGCUACUAUAUACAGGAAGAGAACAACCUCCUCUCCCGCUCCAUCUCCGGCCGGCAAAGCCGCCGGAGAAAGUGGGAAAUGAAGGGAAUACUCUUUUUUCGAGUGGACCCGCUUGCCUUACUUUUUCAUCAUCCACUUGUUUCGUCCCAUCCUUGGUUUGUGCUUUCAAAUAAUGGAAAUCCCUUUUGGAGAUCAGCCUCUAAUGAGGCCUCCAAAUUCAAAAUCCAAAUUUCAUCAAUUUAUAUUUUUACGUUUCAAAAAUUCUGAAAAAAACACAGAUAUACAUGAAGGCGUAACUCACAUGUGUGUAAAUUUUCAGGGCAAAAUACGUUGAAAUGAGGGUUGUGCAAAAAACAAAACAAAAACAAAACAAAUAUGGGCUGUUUAACACAUGAUACUAUUCAUCCUCCCAGGUCAUGAAUUUGUCUUUUUGUACAGGUCGCAACUCAAGGUAUUUCAUCAUGAAUUUUUACACACAUGUGGGUUACAUCCUUACAUACACGCAUAUUUUUUUUCAAUUUUUUUUGAACCAUAAAAGUUUGAAUUUGACUUUUUCAAAAAUAAAGGCCCCCAUGGAGCUCAGCCUCCAAAACGCCUCUCUCUUCAAAUAACUCUUACUGUACAAGAAAACCCAGUCACAUCCUCCAAGAUGUCAUCAUGGUCAAAGUCUUCACCAUGUAGACCUUCAUUGUCGCAAAAGAAUCAACUGAGCAUGCUCUACGAGUUGAGACAUUAAUACCAUGUCCUUUCAUAUAGCUUUCAGAAAAACCCGGUCCUUCGCAAAAAAAUCAACUGAGCGUGCUCUACGAGUUGAGACAUUAAUACCAUGUCCUUUCAUAUAGCUUUCAGAAAAACCCGGUCCUUCGCAAAAGAAUCAACUGAGCGUGCUCUGCGAGUUGAGACAUUAAUACCAUGUCCUUUCAUAUAGCUUUCAGAAAAACCCGGUCCUCCAGCAGCAGCUUGGACAUGUUGCAGCUGCAUUUGAUAGCCGACAAGGAGAACGUUCACUUGUUAAGGCAUCUCCAUGACAACGCUUUCAAGUCAUUUACUAUGCAGGAAAACCACCGUGUCAUGGUCAAAGUCUUUGGAUACAUAUAGACCUUCGUUAUCGCAAUGGACUAAUCAAGUGUGCCACUUGAGCUGGGCGGAUGGUUACUGCUGUGACUAAGAACAAGUACAAUAUGAUGACAUAGGCGGGCUGUAAGCCUUUAUUUUGAAUGAGUUGGAGGAGAGAGAAGAGAAGCGAGAUGUGAAGCGGGCUACGGAUUAACAGCCGGCUGCAGCACGUGCUCCUAGGCAUGUUGUGUGAGAGAGAAGUGGGCCAUGUAUCAAAAAAAUAGCACCUGUUUAUAUAUAACUAUUGUACUUGCCGGCUAUAAGUUUGGCUAUAAAUGAUGUGGCAAGAUCAUAUAGCCAACAGCCGGCUAUAAUAUUAACCAUGCUCUAAGACUAGCCACAGUGGGAGUAACUUCAGCAGCAACAUCAAGUCCAACUCAGCAAAUUUGCUUAUGUGGCAAUGAGUUAAUCAGGAGAGAGGUAGUUUGUGUAACUUAGCUAGUUACUGUAACAUCACAUGUCCCAAUGCAAUAUGAGUCUAUAACCUAAUAAAUAAAGUUUUGUAUGACAUCACACUUAUGUUACUACCCACUAUGUGUUGGAAAUAUAAGCAAUUUACCGAAUGAUUUUAUUAACAGAAAUAGUAGAUAAAACAUGACUAAAAUAGCAAAUAUAAAGCAAGUCAUGCAAUCUGACAGAGAGAAGGUAAACAUCGUCUGCAUAUAUGAACUUGAGGUAAACACAUCUAGAACAGUCACUAGAUGAAGUUGCUUAUACGACAUAGAACCUAACAUACGUAGGACAGAAACUAGAGCCAAGAACUGUAGCAGGACUUCUAACAGAAAGGAGAAGAACACGUACGGCACAGCAGCAGCAGAAGCACUGGACUUGGGGUCGGUGUCCUCGCCUGCCAUGUCGUCGAGGAGGUCAUGGACGUCGGGGAAGAAGUCGUCAUCGGGGAAGUAGUCGUCGGCGACCAGAUCGUCCGUGAUGAAUCAGCCAGUAGUUGCGCAGAGCGCUCCCCAAAAACCUUAUCACCCUUCUCCCGUACAGGACUCAAAGAGUGCGGUUUUGGAGGCCUACUGUCCCGACCUGCGGUGCACGCCGCAAGCCGGGAUGGAGAAGAUCGUAGCAGCAGCGCAGUGCUCAGGAACCGGUGGCGAGAGGAAGAAGUAGUUCUGGUGUGUCUUGCUGAGAGGAGCGACCUCCCUUUUAUAGGCGCAAGAGAAGGAGGCGAGAGGGCAGCGCCGGGAGCUGAAACGAACAGACAGCAGCCGAAGGAUGCAGCGUUCGCAUUUAAUCUCCACUACAGCAAAAAUUUAGACAUUGGCUCGGCUCAUUCCCGCAACCAGCGGCGCGGCGCGACGAGGCGUGGCGAGGCGGGCGGCGGAGGAGGAGCGCGCGUGGAUGUCCCUCUUGUUCUCAUGCUCAUACAAGUGGGGAAAGAACCCCCCUUAUAAGGAGGUCCAACUCCCACUAAACUAGCAAUGUGGGACUAAACUUUUAGUAGUAUCCCUUGCCUUGCACAAAUGGGCUAAGUGGGCCUCUAGGAUUUAUUAGGAAUUUCUGAAAUAGUUAUUGGGCUGCCCAAAAUAGACUAAAUUCCAGCAAUCCCCCACCAGAUCCCAGAGGCACACAGAAAUUUGCCUUUGGUUCCAAAAUACUAUUUUAUAUACCCGUACUGCAGUGGAGACUGUUAAGUUGAACUUCCACCUAGAACUCUAUGCUACACUAGUAAGCAACUUGAACAGUGGACUGGGCCUUGAACUGCAAGUUUUCUGCGAAUCUAGCUUCACAUAAAGCCUUGACCGAUACGUGGCUACCGUGGGUCUUCCCCGCGGGUGGAGCUUAUGCGUCAUACUCCAUGACCUUUCAUGAGUUUACUAGAGAGAACCCUACUCUCAUAGAUUGCGACGUUUGACAAUCAGACUCAUAUAGGUGUGUUCUUCAAAAGAUGUUUUGCAGGAUAACAUCUCUGCUUAAAUAAGCCACUUAGAACACAUUAAGAUAUACAUCAACCUGCCAUGCAGAUUAGGAGAGUAUUGCAUCUUCAUGGAGUGGUAUUGUGAAUAGUAGGGAUACUCUCCUCUCAGUUGACCAACAGCUUGUCUUUCACAUCUAAUCCACGGGAUCUCCGAUCACAAAGAAUAGGUUACCACUGUGAACAACUCAUAUUGUGGGUCUCAUACCCAUCUCCCUUGAUGCAUUAUCUAUCACAUUACGUGAUAGGCCCUUAGUAAAAGGAUCUGCCAGAUUUUUAGACGUUUGGACAUAAUCCAAUGCAAUAACUCCGGAGUUUUUCAUUUUCCUGACAGACUUUAACCUUCUCUGAACGUGUCUUGAUGACUUCAUGUUAUCCUUUGAGCUGCUCACUUUCGUGAUCACAGUUUGAUUGUCGCAGUUCAUAAGGACACCCGGUACAGGUUUCUCAACAACCAGCAAGUCAUUCAAGAGUCGGCGAAGCCAAUCUGCUUCGACCGUAGCUGUAUCUAGUGCUGUGAAUUAUGCUUCCAUAGUUGACCUCGUUAAGAUGGUCUGCUUGCAAGACUUCCAAGAAACAGCGCCACCUCCAUGAGUGAAUACAUAAUCGCUUGUGGCCUUUAUCUCAUCAGCAACUGAGAUCCAGUUUGAGUCACUAUACCCUUCAAGCACCUUUGGAUGCCCAGUGUAGUGAAUUCCAUAAUUCGCAGUGCCUUUCAAAUAAUGCAAAACUCUCUCUAGAGCUUUCCAAUGCACAUCUCCUGGUUUUGAAACAAACCGACUCAUUUUGCUAACAGCAAAAGAGAUGUCAGGUCUUGUAGCACUUGCUAAGUACAUAAGCGAGCCAAUAAUCUGAGAAUACUUCAAUUGAUCUCUAGCAAUUCUUCGAUUCUUUCGAAGCAGCACGUUAGCAUCAUAUGGUGUUGGAGAGGUCUUGCAGUUACUAUAGCCAAAGCGACUCAAGAUCUUUUCCACAUAGUGAGAUUGAAGCAAUGUAAUCCCACCAUCAUCAUCUCUCAACAACUUGAUGUUUAGAAUGACAUCAGCCACUCCUAAAUCCUUCAUCUCAAAACAGUGAGAUAGGAAAUCCUUGACCUCCUUAAUAACAUUCAGAUUUGUUCCGAAAAUUAGUAUGUCAUCAACAUACAAGCAAAGCAUAAUUCCCUCGCCCCCACCAUGGUGAUAGUACACACAUUUGUCAGCUUCGUUCACAACAAAGCCUGCAGCUAUUAAAGUUCUUUCAAACUUCUCAUGCCACUGUUUGGGUGCUUGCUUGAGUCCAUACAAGGACUUCAGCAACUUGCACACUUUCCCUUCCUGACCAUCUACUACAAACCCAUCUGGUUGUUGUUGGAAAUAUGCCCUAGAGGCAAUAAUAAAAGUAUUAUUAUAUUUCCUUGUUCAUGAUAAUUGUAUUUUAUUCAUGCUAUAACUGUAUUAUCCGGAAAUCGUAAUACACGUGUGAAUACAUAGACCACAAUAUGUCCCUAGUGAGCCUCUAGUUGACUAGCUCGUUGUGAUCAACAGAUAGUCAUGGUUUCCUGGCUAUGGACAUUGGAUGUCGUUGAUAACGGGAUCACAUCAUUAGGAGAAUGAUGUGAUGGACAAGACCCAAUCCUAAGCCUAGCACAAAAGGUCGUGUAGUUCGUUUGCUAGAGCUUUGCCAAUGUCAAGUAUCUCUUCCUUUGACCAUGAGAGCGUGUAACUCCUGGAUACCGUAGGAGUGCUUUGGGUGUAUCAAACGUCACAACGUAACUGGGUGACUAUAAAGGUGCACUACAGGUAUCUCCGAAAGUAUCUAUUGUUUUAUGCGGAUCGAGACUGGGAUUUGUCACUCCGUGUAAACGGAGAGGUAUCUCUGGGCCCACUCGGUAGGACAUCAUCAUAUGCGCAAUGUGACCAAGGAGUUGAUCACGGGAUGAUGUGUUACGGAACGAGUAAAGUGACUUGCCAGUAACGAGAUUGAACAAGGUAUUGGAUACCGACGAUCGAAUCUCGGGCAAGUAACAUACCGAUAGACAAAGGGAAUUGAAUACGGGAUUGAUCAAGUCCUUGACAUCGUGGUUCAUCCGAUGAGAUCAUCGUGGAACAUGUGGGAGCCAUCAUGGGUAUCCAGAUCCCGCUGUUGGUUAUUGACCGGAGAACGUCUCGGUCAUGUCUGCAUGUCUCCCGAACCCGUAGGGUCUACACACUUAAGGUUCGAUGACGCUAGGGUUAUAAAGGAAGCUUGUAUGUGGUUACCGAAUGUUGUUCGGAGUCCCGGAUGAGAUCCCGGACGUCACGAGGAGUUCCGGAAUGGUCCGGAGGUAAAGAUUUAUAUAUGGGAAGUCCUGUUUUGGUCACCGGAAAAGUUUCGGGCGAUAUCGGUAUUGUACCGGGACCACCGGGAGGGUCCCGGGGGUCCACCAAGUGGGGCCACCGGCCCCGGAGGCUUGCUUGGGCCUGGAGUGGAAAGGGACCAGCCCCAGAGUGGGCUGGUGCGCCUCCCACCCUUGCCCAAGGCGCAGCUAGGAGGGGAGAGGGGAAACCCUAGGGCAGAUGGGCCCUAAGGCCCAUGCUCCCUACGCCUCCCUCUCCUCCCACUCCUGGCCGCCGCCCCCUUUGCCAUCUAGGGCUAGCCGCACCCCUUGGGGGUGGGAAACCCUAGAGGGGGGCGCAGCCCCCUCUCCCCCUAUAAAUAGUGAGGCAUAGGGCUGCCCAUAACACGCGAUUCGAUCUCUCGUUGGUGCAGCCCUGCCCCUCUCCCUCCUCCUCCUCUCCCAUGGUGCUUGGCGAAGCCCUGCGGGAUUGCCACGCUCCUCUACCACCACCACGCCGUUGUGCUGCUGUUGGAUGGAGUCUUCCUCAACCUCUCCCUCUCUCCUUACUGGAUCAAGGCAUGGGAGACGUCACCGGGCUGUACGUGUGUUGAACGCGGAGGUGCCGUGCGUUCGGCACUUGAUCAUCGGUGAUUUGAAUCACGACGAGUACGACUCCUUCAACCCCGUUCACUUGAACGCUUCUGCUUAGCGAUCUACAAGGGUAUGUAGAUGCACUCUCCUUCCCCUCGUUGCUGGUUUCUCCAUAGAUAGAUCUUGGUGACACGUAGGAAAAUUUUGAAUUUCUGCUACGUUCCCCAACAGUGGCAUCAUGAGCUAGGUCUAUUGCGUAGAUUCUUUGCACGAGUAGAACACAAAGUAGUUGUGGGCGUUGAUGUUGUUCAAUAUGCUUACCGUUACUAGUCCAAUCUUGUUUCGACGGUAUUGUGGGAUGAAGCGGCCGGACCGACCUUACACGUACUCUUACGUGAGACAGGUUCCACCGAUUGACAUGCACUUGGUGCAUAAGGUGGCUAGCGGGUGCCAGUCUCUCCCACUUUAGUCGAAACGGAUUCGAUGAAAAGGGUCCUUAUGAAGGGUAAAUAGCAAUUGGCAUAUCACGUUGUGGUUUUGCGUAGGUAAGAAACGUUCUUGCUAGAAACCCAUAGCAGCCACGUAAAACAUGCAAACAACAAUUAGAGGACGUCUAACUUGUUUUUGCAGGGUAUGCUAUGUGAUGUGAUAUGGCCAAGAAGAAUGUGAUGAAUGAUAUGUGAUGUAUGAGAUUGAUCAUGUUCUUGUAAUAGGAAUCACGACUUGCAUGUCGAUGAGUAUGACAACCGGCAGGAGCCAUAGGAGUUGUCUUUAUUUAUUGUAUGACCUGCGUGUCAUUGAAGAACGCCAUGUAACUUACUUUACUUUAUUGCUAAACGCGUUAGUCAUAGAAGUAGAAGUAGUCGUUGGCGUGACAACUUCAUGAAGACACGAUGAUGGAGAUCAUGAUGAUGGAGACCAUGGUGUCAUGCCGGUGACGAUGAUGAUCAUGGAGCCCAGAAGAUGAAGAUCAAAAGGAGCAAAAUGAUAUUGGCCAUAUCAUGUCACUAUUUGAUUGCAUGUGAUGUUUAUCAUGUUUAUGCAUCUUGUUUACUUAGGACGACGGUAGUAAAUAAGAUGAUCCCUUACAAAAUUUCAAGAAGUGUUCUCCCCUAACUGUGCACCGUUGCUACAGUUCGUCGCUUCUAAGCACCACGUGAUGAUCGGGUGUGAUGGAUUCUUACGUUCACAUACAACGGGUGUAAGACAGUUUUACACAGCGAAAACACUUACGGUUAACUUGACGAGCUUAGCAUGUGCAGACAUGGCCUCGGAACACGGAGACCGAAAGGUCGAGCAUGAGUCGUAUAGUAGAUACGAUCAACAUGAAGAUGUUCACCGAUGAUGACUAGUCCGUCUCACGUGAUGAUCGGACACGGCCUAGUUGACUCGGAUCAUGUGAUCACUUAGAUGACCAGAGGGAUGUCUAUCUAAGUGGGAGUUCAUAAGAUGAACUUAAUUAUCCUGAACAUAGUCAAAAGACCUUUUGCAAAUUAUGUCGUAGUUGACGCUAUAGUUCUACUAUUUUAGUUAUGUUCCUAGAGAAAAUAUAGUUGAAAGUUGACAGUAGCGAUUAUGCGGACAGUAGAAAGCUUAUGUCCUUAAUGCACCGCUCAAUGUGCUGAACCCCAAACGUCGUCUGUGGAUGUUGCGAACAUCGGACAUACAUGUUUUGAUAACUACGUGAUAGUUCAGAUAAAUGGUUUAAGUAGAGGCACCAAAGGCGUUUUUCGAAACGUCGCGGAACAUAUGAGAUGUUUCGAGGGCUGAAAUUGGGAUUUCAGGCUCGUGCCCACAUCAAGAGGUAUGAGACCUCCGACAAUUUUCUUAGCCUACAAACUAAGGGAGAAAAGCUCAAUCGUUGAGCUUGUGCUCAGAUUGUCUGAGUGCAACAAUCACUUGAAUCGAGUGGGAGUUGAUCUUCCAAAUGAGAUAGUGAUGUUUCUCCAAAGUCAUUGCCACCAAGCUGCUAGAGCUUCGUGAUGAACUAUAACAUAUCAGGGAUAGAUAUGAUGAUCCUUGAGGUAUUCGCGAUGUUUGACACCGCGAAAGUAGAAAUCAAGAAGGAGCAUCAAUUGUUGAUGGUUGGUGAAACCACUAGUUUCAAGAAGGGCAAGUGCAAGAAGGGAUACUUCAUGAAACGGCAAAUCAGCUGCUGCACCAGUGAAGAAACCCGAGGUUGAACCCAAACCCGAGACUAAGUGCUUCUGUGAUAAGGGGAAUAGCCGCUGGAGCAGAAUUACCCUAGAUACUUGGUAGAUAAGAAGGCUGGCAAGGUCGAUAGAAGUAUAUUGGAUAUACAUUAUGUUAAAGUGUACUUUACUAGUACUCCUAGUAGCACCAGGGUAUAAGAUACCGGUUCGGUUGCUAAGUGUUAGUCACUCGAAAUAAAAGCUACGGAAUAAACGGAGACUAGCUAAAGGUGAGAUGACGAUAUGUGUUGGAAGGGUUUCCAAUGUUGAUAUGAUCAAGCAUCACACGCUCCCUCUACCAUCGAGAUUGGUGUUUGCGUUGAGCAUAGACAUGAUUGGAUUAUGUCUAUCGCAAUACGGUUAUUCAUUUAAGGAGAAUAAUGGUUACUCUGUUUAUUUGAAUAAUACCUUCAAUGGUCUUGCACCUGAAACAAAUGGUUUAUUGAAUCUCGAUCGUAGUGAUACACACUUUCAUGCCAAAAGAUAUAACAUAGUAAUGAUAGUACCACUUACUUGUGGCACUGCCAUGUAAGUCAUAAUGGUAUAAAACGCAUGAAGAAGCUCCAUGUUGAUGGAUCUUUGGACUCACUCGAUUUUGAAAAGUUUGAGACAUGCGAACCAUGUCUAUUGCUGUAUAUGCAUGAAGAAACUCCAUGCAAAUGGACCGUUUGGACUCACUUGAUUUUGAAUCACUUGAGAUAUGCAAAUCAUACCACAUGGGCAAGAUGACUGAAAAGCCUCGUUUUCAGUAAGAUGGAACAAGAUGGCAACUUGUUGGAAGUAACACAUUUUGAUGUGUGUAGUCCAAUGAGUGCUGAGGCAUGCAGUGAACAUCGUUAUGUUCUUACUUCACAGAUGAUUCGAGUAGAUGUUGAGAAUAUUUACUUGAUGAAACACAAGUCUGAAUUAUUGAAUGGUUCAAGUAAUUUCAGAGUGAAGUAGAAUAUCAUUGUGACAAGAGGAUAAAAUGUCUAUGAUAUGAUCAUAGAGAUGAAUAUCUGAGUUACAAGUUUUGGCACACAAUUAAGACACUGUGGAAAUUGUUUCGCAAUUAAUACCGCCUGGAACACCAUAGUGUGAUGGUGUGUCCAAACAUCAUAGUUGCACCCUAUUGGAUAUGGUGCGUACCAUGAUGUCUCUUAUCGAAUUACCACUAUCGUUCAUGGGUUAGGCAUUAGAGACAACCACAUUCACUUUAAAUAGGGCACCACGUAAUUCCGUUGAGAUGACACCGUAUGAAUUAUGGUUUAGAGAAACCUAAGUUGUCGUUUCUUAAAGGUUUGGGGCUGCGACACUUAUGUGGAAAAGUUUCAGGAUUGAUAAGCUCGAACCCAAAGCGGAUAAAAUGCAUCUUCAUAGGACACCCAAAACAGUUGGGUAUACCUCCUGUCUCAGAUCCGAAAGCAAUAAGGGAUUGUUUCUAGAAUCAGGUCCUUUCUCGAGGAAAAGUUUCUCUCGAAAGAAUUGAGUGGGAGGAUGGUGGAAACUUGAUGAGGUUAUUGAACCGUCUCUUCAACUAGUGUGUGGCAGGGCACAGGAAGUUGUACCUGUGGCACCUACACCAAUUGAAGUGGAAGCUUAUGAUAUUGAUCAUGAAACUUCGGAUCAAGUCACUACCAAACCUCGUGGGAUGACAAGGAUACGUACUACUUCAGAGUGGUACGUAAUCCUGUCUUGGAAGUCAUGUUGCUGGACAACAAUGAACCUACGAGCUAUGGAGAAGCAAUGGUGGGCCCGGAUUCCGAUAAAUGGCUCGAGGCCAUAAAAUCCGAGAACGGAUCCAUGACUUUGGAAGAAAUACUUGAUGGUCGUAAGGCCAUUGGGUACGGAUGGAUUUUAAAAGGAAGACAGACAAUGAUGGUAAGAAUUACCAUUAAGAAAGCUCGACUUGUCGUUAAGAUAUUUUCCGACAAGUUCAAGGAGUUGAUUACGGUGAGGUUUUCUCACUCGUAGCGAUGCUAAGAGUCUGUUGGAAUUGGAUUAGCAGUUACUGCAUGAUUGAUGAAAUCUUGCAGAUAGGAUGUCAAAACAUUGUUUCCUCGAUGUUAUACUUGAGGAAAGGUUGUAUGUGAUACAACCGGAAGGUUUUGUCAAUCCCAAAAGAUGCUAAUAAGUAUGCAAAGCUCCAGCAAUCCUUCUAAGGACUGGAGUGAGCAUCUCGGAGUUGGAAUGUAUGCUUUGAUGAUGAUCAAAGAUUUUGGGUUUGUACAAAGUUUAUGAGAAACUUGUAUUUCCAAAGAAGUGAGUGGGAGCACUAUAGAAUUUCUGAUGAGUAUAUGUUGUUGACAUAUUGUUGAUCAGAAAUGACGUAGAAUUUCUGGAAAGCAUAUAGGGUUAUUUUGAAAGUGUUUUUCAAUGGAAAGCCUGGAUUAAGCUACUUGAACAUUGAGCAUCAAGAUCUAUAAGGAUAGAUCAAAACGCUUAAUGGUACUUUCAAAUGAGCACAUACCUUGACAUGAUCUUGAAGGUGUUCAAGAUGGAUCAGUCAAAGAAGAAGUUCUUGCCUGAAUUGUAAGGUACGAAGUUAAGACUUAAAGCUUGACCACGGCAGAAUAGAGAGAAAGGACGAAAGUCGUCCCCUAUGCUUAAGACGUAGGCUCUUCAGUAUGCUAUGCUGUGUACCGCACCUGAAGUGUGCCUUGCCAUGAGUCAGUCAAGGGGUACAAGAGUGAUCCAAGAAUGGCUCACAGGACAGCGGUCAAAGUUAUCCUUAGUAACUAGUGGACUAAGGAAUUUUCUCGAUUAUGGAGGUGGUAAAAGAGUUCGUCGUAAAGGGUUACGUCGAUGCAAGAUUAACACCUAUCCGGACAGCUCUGAGUAGAGAUACCGGAUACGUACAAUGGGGCAACAAUUUAGAAUAGCUCCAAGUAGAACAGUUAUUUGGAUUAGCUCCAAAUAGAGCGUGGUAGCUCCAUCUAGGAGAUGACAUAGAGAUUUUUAAAGCACACACGGAUCUGAAAGGUUCAGACCCGUUGACUAAAACCUCUCUCACAAGCAACAUGAUCAAACAUAAAACUCAUUGAGUGUUAAUCACAUAGUGAUGUGAACUAGACUACUGACUCUAGUAAACUCUUGGGUAUUAGUCACAUGGGGAUGUGACCUUGAGUGUUAAUCACAUAUCGAUGUGAACUAGAUUAUUGACUCUAGUGCAAGUGGGAGACUGUUGGAAAUAUGCCCUAGAGGCAAUAUUAAAAGUAUUAUUAUAUUUCCUUGUUCAUGAUAAUUGUCUUUUAUUCAUGCUAUAACUAUAUUAUCCGGAAAUCGUAAUACACGUGUGAAUACAUAGACCACAAUAUGUCCCUAGUGAGCCUCUAGUUGACUAGCUCGUUGUGAUCAACAGAUAGUCAUGGUUUCCUGGCUAUGGACAUUGGAUGUCGUUGAUAACGGGAUCACAUCGUAAGGAGAAUGAUGUGAUGGACAAGACCCAAUCCUAAGCCUAGCACAAAAGGUCGUGUAGUUCGUUUGCUAGAGCUUUGCCAAUGUCAAGUAUCUCUUCCUUUGACCAUGAGAGCGUGUAACUCCUGGAUACCGUAGGAGUGCUUUGGGUGUAUCAAACGUCACAACGUAACUGGGUGACUAUAAAGGUGCACUACAGGUAUCUCCGAAAGUAUCUAUUGUUUUAUGCGGAUCGAGACUGGGAUUUGUCACUCCGUGUAAACGGAGAGGUAUCUCUGGGCCCACUCGGUAGGACAUCAUCAUAUGCGCAAUGUGACCAAGGAGUUGAUCACGGGAUGAUGUGUUACCGAACGAGUAAAGUGACUUGCCGGUAAUGAGAUUGAACAAGGUAUUGGAUACCGACGAUCGAAUCUCGGGCAAGUAACAUACCGAUAGACAAAGGGAAUUGAAUACGGGAUUGAUUAAGUCCUUGACAUCGUGGUUCAUCCGAUGAGAUCAUCGUGGAACAUGUGGGAGCCAUCAUGGGUAUCCAGAUCCCGCUGUUGGUUAUUGACCGGAGAACGUCUCAGUCAUGUCUGCAUGUCUCCCGAACCCGUAGGGUCUACACACUUAAGGUUCGAUGACACUAGGGUUAUAAAGGAAGCUUGUAUGUGGUUACCGAAUGUUGUUCGGAGUCCCGGAUGAGAUCCCGGACGUCAUGAGGAGUUCCGGAAUGGUCCGGAGGUACAGAUUUAUAUAUGGGAAGUCCUGUUUUGGUCACCAGAAAAGUUUCGGGCGAUAUCGGUAUUGUACCGGGACCACCGGGAGGGUCCCGGGGGUCCACCAAGUGGGGCCACCGGCCCCGGAGGCUUGCUUGGGCCUAGAGUGGAAAGGGACCAGCCCCAGAGUGGGCUGGUGCGCCUCCCACCCUUGCCCAAGGCGCAGCUAGGAGGGGAGAGGGGAAACCCUAGGGCAGAUGGGCCCUAAGGCCCAUGCUCCCUACGCCUCCCUCUCCUCCCCCUUGGGGGUGGGAAACCCUAGAGGGGGGCGCAGCCCCCUCUCCCCCUAUAAAUAGUGAGGCAUAGGGCUGCCCAUAACACGCGAUUCGAUCUCUCGUUGGUGCAGCCCUGCCCCUCUCCCUCCUCCUCCUCUCCCAUGGUGCUUGGCGAAGCCCUGCGGGAUUGCCACGCUCCUCCACCACCACCACGCCGUUGUGCUGCUGUUGGAUGGAGUCUUCCUCAACCUCUCCCUCUCUCCUUGCUGGAUCAAGGCAUGGGAGACGUCACCGGGCUGUACGUGUGUUGAACGCGGAGGUGCCGUGCGUUCGGCACUUGAUCAUCGGUGAUUUGAAUCACGACGAGUACGACUCCUUCAACCCCGUUCACUUGAACGCUUCCGCUUAGCGAUCUACAAGGGUAUGUAGAUGCACUCUCCUUCCCCUCGUUGCUGGUUUCUCCAUAGAUAGAUCUUGGUGACACGUAGGAAAAUUUUGAAUUUCUGCUACGUUCCCCAACAGUUGUUCCAUAUAAAUUUCCUCAUCCAACUCUCCAUUUAGGAAAGCAGUCUUAACAUCCAUUUGAUGAACGAGAAGACCAUGUGAGGCAGCUAGUGAAAGUAGAACUCGAAUAGUGGUCAGUCGAGCCACAGGUGAGUAAGUAUCAAAGAAAUCUUCACCUUCCUUUUGGGUAUAACCCUUAGCCACGAGCCGAGCCUUGUACUUUUCAAUAGUACUAUCAGGCCUAAGCUUCUUCUUGAAUACCCAUUUGCAUCCUAUAGGUUUGCACCCAUAAGGACGAUCAGUUAUCUCCCAAGUUUCAUUCGCCAAGAUGGAAUCCAUCUCGCUACGAACUGCUUCCUUCCAGUAGUCAGCAUCUUCAGAUGCAUAGGCCUCUGAAAUAGAACUGGGAGUGUCAUCUAUGAGAUACACAAGAAAAUCAUCACCAAAGGACUUUGCAGUCCUUUGUCUCUUGCUCCUAAUAGGAACUUCAUUGUUCUCCUCCACAGGACUUUCAAAGUGUUCCAUCGAAAUGGCAGGUUCGGUAAUUGUAACUGGUUCCUGAUUCGAUGAACUAGGCAUCUCCUUAUUAGAUGAGGUAGCCAUAUCCUUCAUGGGAAAGAUAUCUUCAAAGAAAGUCGCAUCAUUCGACUCCAUGAUCGUACCGACAUGCAUAUCAGGUACCUCAGAUUUUACAACCAAGAAUCUAUAGCCAAUGCUAUGAAAAGCAUAUCCCAAGAAAACACAAUCUAUAGUCUUUGGUCCAAGUUUCCGCUUCUUUGGAAUUGGAACAUUGACUUUCGCCAAACAACCCCAUGUUCGCAGAUAAGAGAGUUUUAACCUUUUCUUCUCCCACUCCUCGAAUGGAGUUAUCUCUUUGUUCUUUGUGGGGACUCGAUUUAGGACAUGACACGCUGUCAAUAUCGCCUCCCCCCACCAUGCCUUGGAGAGACCCGAUGUGUCUAACAUGGCAUUUACCAAAUCAGUUAGAGUACGGUUCUUUCUUUCGGCCACCCCAUUUGACUGAGGUGAGUAGGGAGGCGCCCUCUCAUGGAGUAUACCAUGUUCCGCACAAAAAGCAUCAAAUUCAUUGGAAAAAUACUCUCCACCACGGUCGGACCUAAGCCUCUUGAUUUUUUGAUCAAGUUGGUUUUCCACUUCAGCUUUAUAGAUCUUGAAAACGUUCAAAGCCUCAUCCUUAGAUUUCAGAAGAUACACACAGCAGUAUCUAGUGGAGUCGUCAAUUAACGUCAUGAAAUAUUUCUUUCCACCUUUUGUCAAAACACCAUUCAUUUCACAUAGAUCUGAAUGUAUAAGUUCUAGUGGUGCAAGAUUUCUCGUUUCCACGGUCACGUGAGAUUUACGAGCUUGCUUAGCUUGCACACACACUUGACACUUAGAUCCUUUAACGGUGGUGAAACUAGGGAUUAAGUUCAACUUCGCUAGUCACGACAUGCAACCAAAGUUAACAUGACAGAGUCGUGAAUACCACACAUUUGAUUCACUAUUGUUGCAAAUAUGAUUAACAACUUUAUUGCAAACGUCUAAUAAGGAUAAACGAAAUAGGCCUCCUGACUCAUAGCCUUUACCAACAAAGGUUCCAUACUUGGAUAUUACAAAUUUAUUCGACUCAAAGACAAGCUUAUAGCCAUCUCUACACAGAAGAGAUCCGCUAACAAGAUUUUUAUUGACGGAGGGGACAUAAUGCACGUUCUUCAGCCGCACGAUCUUCCCCGAAGUAAACUUCAGAUCGACCGUGCCAACACCACGAACAGAAGCACUUGAACCGUUGCCCAUCAGCACGGUUGAAGUCCCUGCGGUCUGAUAAGACGAAAACAUGGAAAUAUCACCGCAUACAUGCACAUUAGCACCCGUGUCAAUCAACCAGUCAGGAGAAUGACAUACUGAAAGAAUAGUGGGAAAUAUACCAUACCCAGCAUCCUUCAUGUCAGUGUCUCCAAUGACAACAUUAGCGGUCUUGCCGCCUUUCCCAGGAUGACGCUUGUCAUAGCGAUUAGGGCAACUAGGAGCCCAAUGAUCAGGAUCUCCACACACAUGACAAGCACCUUUCUUCUUGCCAUUCUUCUUCUUGAAGUUCGUGUGUUGCACAACCUUAUUCUUCCCAUCAAACUUUGCUUUACCAUCAAACUUGCCCUUGUUCUUGAACUUGUGGGGCUGGAAGUUCUGCUUCUAUACCACAUUGGCACUAGAUCCUCCCUCAAUACCUCGAGCACGUGUGUCCUUUGCUCUCGCCUUUUCUUCCACAUCAAGAGUACCAAUGAGGUCCGAAACCGAAAACUCAUGUCUCUUAUGUUUCAGUAAGGUAGCAAAGUUCCUCCAUGAAGGAGGAAGCUUAGUGAUGAUACCGCCGGCAACAAACUUGUCCGGUAGCAUGCAAUUGAAGUGCUCAAGUUCUCUAGCAAAUGACUGUAUCUCAUGAGCCUGCUCAACCACGGAGCGCUCUUCAGUCAUCCUGUAAUCAUAGAAUUGCUCCAUGAUGUACAGCUCAGUGCCGACAUCCGAGACCCCAAACUUGGCCUCGAGUGCGUCCCACAUAUCUUUUCCAUUAUCAAUUGACGCAUAAGCAUCAACUAUGUUCUCUCCAAGAACACUCAAGAGCGCAGCCUUAAACAACUAAUCCAUUUUCUGAAAAGCUUGUGCCUGUUGGGCAUCUUGCUCUCCUUCAGGUUUGCCAAGAGUGGCGUCAUAGCAACUCAUGGUUUGAAACCAUAAGACUGCUCUCACGCGCCACCUCUUAUAGUGGAUACCCUCAAACAUAGGAGGUCUCAUGGAAGCAGCAAAACCACUUGGGGUAAAUUGCCUAUAAUAAGGUUUUUGGAUUGUUGGAAAUAUGAGCAAUUUACCGAAUGAUUUUAUUAACAGAAAUAGUAGAUAAAACAUGACUAAAAUAGAAAAUAUAAAGCAAGUCAUGCAAUUUGACAGAGAGAAGGUAAACAUCGUCUGCAUAUAUGAACUUGAGGUAAACACAUCUAGAACAGUCACUAGAUGAAGUUGCUUAUACGACAUAGAACCUAACAUACGUAGGACAGAAACUAGAGCCAAGAACUGUAGCAGGACUUCUAACAGAAAGGAGAAGAACACGUACGGCACAGCAGCAGCAGAAGCGCUGGACUUGGGGUCGGUGUCCUCGCCUGCCAUGUCGUCGAGGAGGUCGUGGACAUCGGGGAAGAAGUCGUCGUCGGGGAAGUAGUCGUCGGCGACCGGAUCGUCCGUGAUGAAUCAGCCAGUAGUCGCGCAGAGCGCUCCCCAAAAACCUUAUCACCCUUCUCCCGUACAGGACUCAAAGAGUGCGGUUUCGGAGGCCUACUGUCCCGACCUGCGGUGCACGCCUCAAGCCGGGAUGGAGAAGAUCGUAGCAGCAACGCAGUGCUCAGGAACCGGUGGCGAGAGGAAGAAGUAGUUCUGGUGCGUCUUGCUGAGAGGAGCGACCUCCCUUUUAUAGGCGCAAGAGGGCAGCGCCAGGAGCUGAAGGGACCGAGGGAGAUGAAACGAACAGACAGCAGCCGAAGGGUGUAGCGUUCGCAUUUAAUCUCCACUACAGCAAAAAUUUAGACAUCGGCUCGGCUCAUUCCCGCAACCCGCAACCCGCAACCCGCAACCCGCGGCGCGUCGUGACGAGGCAGGCGGCGGAGGAGGAGCGCGCGUGGAUGUCCCUCUUGUUCUCAUGCUCAUACAAGUGGGGAAAGAACCCCCCUUAUAAGAGGUCCAACUCUCACUAAACUAGCAAUGUGGGGCUAAACUUUUAGUAGUAUCCCUUGCCUUGCACAAAUGGGCUAAGUGGGCCUCUAGGAUUUAUUAGGAAUUUCUGAAAUAGUUAUUGAACUGCCCAAAAUAGACUAAAUUCCAGCACUAUGAAGAUAGUAACAUAGUCUAGGAAUAUGUGUAUGUUACUAUUGUAUAUAUGUUACUCUCCAUUAUGACUAGUCUAAGGCUACCCAUAGUGAGAACAGCAUAGGUAGUAAUAUACUAGAUGCCACCUAAUCUUAAAAAUAAAAUAAAAUACCGUGACAUCUAAUUAAUGAGAGAGACAAAUAAAUAACAUAGGUAGUUAUCAUAACAUAGCCCUUCCCAAGAAAGAAUGGGUCUAUAAGAAAAUAAAUGAGGCUAUAUAUAAUACUAUCUUUAAAUUAUUUUGCACUACGAAGAUAAUAACAUAUAUAGAUUAGUAACAUACACAUGUUACUAGUCUAAGUUACUCCUCACUAUGACUAACCUCACGACGGGGUAAGAGCAGCUCCAACGCGACGACCCAUUUCAUCUGCCGCCAUCCGUUUGGGUAGCAGCGGACAUUUGUGAUGGCCCAACAUGCCGACCCAUUCUCAAAUGACGUCCGCUUCGCGUCCACGCGGACCCAUUUUCAGCCCAAAUUUGGGCCUGAAAUGACCUUCACUCUCCUCAAGUGAGGAGGGCAUAUUGUUUGACCAACGAAAGCCUCACUAGUUCCUUCUUCCCGUUCACUAUUCCCGUAGCCUGAUACGAGUUAUUUAGUUCGUGUCUCCUUGUUCUUGGGAAGAACCGAAGGUUCAUUCGCGGCACUCGUAGACAUAGCUGUAUUUCAGACCGUCGGAGCGGACGCCUCACGCGCCUUCUCGGUGUCCGCCGCGGCCCCACCUGGCGACCGCCCAACUACCGCGGUCAGCUUUCUUAAUGACGAUCCCCCAUCGCGGCCCACGCGUCAGUGACGGUGGCCGGCCUUUUUUAAUCUGAGCGUGCGGUGGGGAGCCGUCCUCAUCUGCUUCCAGACGCCCCGUCCCCAUCUCGCCACCCCUGUGCUUCCCCGUUGGUGACAAAGCCUAGCAAACCCUAGCUACCGCAAUGCCACCAGAAAUGGGCCUCUUCUCCGGCAAGGGAAAGGGCAAGGGCCCCGCCGUCCCUCCUCGCCGGCCAAGGCAGCGGAUCGCCGUCCCACUGCACCAGGCAAACAAUGGAUCCAGCGAAGGCUGGCCGAGUAGCGCGCCUACCUCGAACAAUGGAGCCAGCGAAGGUUGGCCAAGGAACGCCGUGAGGAUGAUUACCUCGAGUAGCUGGAGCACGAGGCCAAGGAGGAGGCGCGCUGUGCCCGGGGCGGAGCACCCCAGCCGGCGGCGGACGACGUCGCCAACGCCUGGAAUACGACGUUCCCGUGGGUUGACCCAGCGCCGACACUGAUCGUCCUCACCGGCCCCGACGACGACAAUGAAGACGUCUAGGCAGCGCCCCGCCUCGUAGUUUAGUUUUAGUUAUGUUUAACUAAUUUAAAUAUGGACGCAUGGACUCUCGCCGGCCUUUGUGGCAGACAUUAAUGUUUAAUUAAUGUUUUUGCAUUUUCAAAAUAUUUGUGUUCUAUUUUUCGCGCGCUAUAAAAAUUGGUCAGGCCAGCGUUGGACGUAUGUGCCGACCCAAACAUGAAAGAGGAUCGUGGGUGUCCACCGGGCCGACCCAAGCGGACAAAAAACGGAGAAAAUCGCCGUUCGUUUGGGUCGGUGCGUUGGAGUUGCUCUAAGCUCCACACCAUGGGCAGCAGUGGGCCUGCCUGAGGUUACAGCUUUUGAGUGUGAAGCUACGACUAUUCCUAGUUACCCCGGUGAGAAGCUGGCUGGUGUGAAGCAUGCCUCUGGACGCUGACCUCCUAGCGAUUCAAAGUCUCCGUUCUCAGUCAAGAAGAGCCUGUCUGUGACCUUGCCGGCUCGUUAAUCACCACUAGUUGGUGAUUUGAUACACCAUUUUCAUGUGUAAAUUGCGGCGAUGAUCUCUCAUGUAGGACCAGGCAACCUGUUUAUGUGGAAAACUUCAAAAAGGGCAGAUUAGUUCAAUUACUCUUUCGCAUUUUGAACUAUGUUGUGAUUUGAAACUGCAAGAAAUGUCAUGUUUAUAGUUAUUUGUUUCUAGCUCUUCCUAGUUCUGCUACGGGGCUUCAUUUUAAGACAAAAUAAGUAGAAACCUCUGUAUUUUUUCGAUGAAAUCUUGUAAGUUGGUGCCGAGAGCUAGAAAAAUGAAAUUCUCAUGAAAUAUUUGUACACAGGCAUCUGGCAGGUACGUCCAGUGUGUUUUUGUACAUGCAUAAAUUUUUUCAAAUGAACAAAAUAUCAAAGAAAAAACAUCCCUAGCUAGUAGAAGGUUGAGUAUCUCUAACAUCAUCUUCUUUACAAAUUACCUCAACACCCAACUCUUUGAAGACUUUCUCUUGUGCAUGGUUAUUCGUUGCUAAGAUCACUUUCUUUUAAAAACAGUGUCACGACAAGUCUCGGUUAUCUAGAUUAAAUAGAACAAAGGCGACAAAAUUAUUUCAGCUACUAGAAAAAACCUCUGGCCCUUCUUCACCCUGGUGAGAAGCUGGCUUGGUGUGAACCAAGCCUGCGGAGUCUGGACGCUCAAGCACAGCAAUCCUGAUCUCAUAGCGAUUCAAAGUCUCUGUUUUCAGUCAAGCAAAGCGUGCCUGUGGCCUUGCCAGCUCAUUAAUCACCACUAGCUGGUGAUUUGAUACGCCAUUUUCCUGUGGUUGCAGCAACCGACGAUCUCUCAUGUAGGCCCAGGCAACCUGUUUAUGUGGAAAACUUAAAAAGGGAGAUCAGUUCAAUUACUCUUCACAGUUUGCACAAUGAUGUGAUUUGAAACUACAAAUGUCAUGGUUAUAAUUAUUUGAAAGCUAGACACCUUGAUAAUUAGAAGUUUAGAACCUUACAGCCAUUAUCCAUCCACCCUUUAAGACCUUCAGCGUUUUUUACAUGAAGACUUCAUCUAAAUAUACUUUGUUUUAGUGCUUCCUCUCUGAGAAUAUAUCGAUUCCUGUAGUCAAGAUGAACAACCAUUUACUUGAGUUUUUGAAAUGACACUAUUGUCGUCGGUAACUUACCAGUGCAUUGGUAGUUUGGUACCUAGCAGGAUUGCAAAAGCACAGGAACAGACUGGUUACUGCCAAGAAACAGGAACCCGGACUGAUUCCAUUCCUGUAAAUUGGAUAAUUAGAAUGUUCAAACUCAGAUCUUAAGUUCUCAAAUUGGAACGGCUUUGGGACAUAUACACAAAUCAGUACUAAACUAAACUUCCCUGAUUCAGAACUUAUUUAUAACUCACAAGUUUGUAUGAUCUCCUGUUGGUAGAAUUACAGCAAACAUGUAUUUUCACAUGUGAUUUUCAGGUGAAAGAAAAGGCUGUGGAGCUUGCCAAGGCCAUGGAAUCUGAAGACGGCGUAACGGGUACAGUCAGGGCAUUCCUCAAACACCUGCCCUGUAAAACAGAUGAAAAUUCACCCCCACCAACGCACGGCUUUCUAGAGUUCCUAGGCCCAGUAAGUAAAUGUUUGGGGUGCUCUUAGGUGCUGGUCAGAUGCAGGUAUACCAUUCCUCCCUGCUGAACGGAGAGUGUAAAAAAGGCUCUUGGGUGACGCACUAUGCUAUUUCGUGCGAUAAGAAUGUGGAAGCCGAAUGUUAGAAGUUGAUGUACUUGCAUGCGACCAGGAGCCCGCGAUUUAUGGUUCUGCGUUUUUUUGUAUGUGUGUUGUGUAAAGAGUAUUUGUCUGGUGAUUUUAAUACAUCAUUUUGGUGUGGUUGCAACCUUGGCCUGCAGGAACAGAUGAUCCCACAUGUAUGACCAGGCAACCUGUGUAUAUGGAAAACUUCAGAGUGCAGAUUAGUUCAG